rnacentral:rRNA from 1 species
GGCGGGACACGUGGUAUCCUGUCUGAAUAUGGGGGGACCAUCCUCCAAGGCUAAAUACUCCUGACUGACCGAUAGUGAACCAGUACCGUGAGGGAAAGGCGAAAAGAACCCCGGCGAGGGGAGUGAAACAGAACCUGAAACCGUGUACGUACAAGCAGUGGGAGCACAGGUUUACCUGUGUGACUGCGUACCUUUUGUAUAAUGGGUCAGCGACUUAUAUUCUGUAGCAAGGUUAACCGCAUAGGGGAGCCGAAGGGAAACCGAGUCUUAAUUGGGCGUUAAGUUGCAGGGUAUAGACCCGAAACCCGGUGAUCUAGCCAUGGGCAGGUUGAAGGUUGGGUAACACUAACUGGAGGACCGAACCGACUAAUGUUGAAAAAUUAGCGGAUGACCUGUGGCUGGGGGUGAAAGGCCAAUCAAACCGGGAGAUAGCUGGUUCUCCCCGAAAGCUAUUUAGGUAGCGCCUCGUGAACUCAUCUCCGGGGGUAGAGCACUGUUUCGGCUAGGGGGCCAUCCCGGCUUACCAACCCGAUGCAAACUGCGAAUACCGGAGAAUGUUAUCACGGGAGACACACGGCGGGUGCUAACGUCCGUCGUGAAGAGGGAAACAACCCAGACCGCCAGCUAAGGUCCCAAAGUCAUGGUUAAGUGGGAAACGAUGUGGGAAGGCCCAGACAGCCAGGAUGUUGGCUUAGAAGCAGCCAUCAUUUAAAGAAAGCGUAAUAGCUCACUGGUCGAGUCGGCCUGCGCGGAAGAUGUAACGGGGCUAAACCAUGCACCGAAGCUGCGGCAGCGAACGUAUCACUUAAAACGAUUCAGAAGCUUACGAUUGACGGAGCGAAGCGACGUCAAAGCGUAUACAAAGUCGAGUCGGUUUAAGGAUACGUUCGUUGGGUAGGGGAGCGUUCUGUAAGCCGUUGAAGGUGGCCUGUGAGGGUUGCUGGAGGUAUCAGAAGUGCGAAUGCUGACAUAAGUAACGAUAAAGCGGGUGAAAAGCCCGCUCGCCGGAAGACCAAGGGUUCCUGUCCAACGUUAAUCGGGGCAGGGUGAGUCGACCCCUAAGGCGAGGCCGAAAGGCGUAGUCGAUGGGAAACGGGUUAAUAUUCCCGUACUUGGUGUUACUGCGAAGGGGGGACGGAGAAGGCUAUGUUGGCCGGGCGACGGUUGUCCCGGUUUAAGCGUGCAGGUGUGUGUUCCAGGUAAAUCCGGUUCACUUUAACACUGAGGCGUGAUGACGAGGCACCACGGUGCUGAAGCAACAAAUGCCCUGCUUCCAGGAAAAGCCUCUAAGCAUCAGGUAACAUCAAAUCGUACCCCAAACCGACACAGGUGGUCAGGUAGAGAAUACCAAGGCGCUUGAGAGAACUCGGGUGAAGGAACUAGGCAAAAUGGUGCCGUAACUUCGGGAGAAGGCACGCUGACACGUAGGUGAAGUGGUUUACCCAUGGAGCUGAAGUCAGUCGAAGAUACCAGCUGGCUGCAACUGUUUAUUAAAAACACAGCACUGUGCAAACACGAAAGUGGACGUAUACGGUGUGACGCCUGCCCGGUGCCGGAAGGUUAAUUGAUGGGGUCAGCGCAAGCGAAGCUCCUGAUCGAAGCCCCGGUAAACGGCGGCCGUAACUAUAACGGUCCUAAGGUAGCGAAAUUCCUUGUCGGGUAAGUUCCGACCUGCACGAAUGGCGUAAUGAUGGCCAGGCUGUCUCCACCCGAGACUCAGUGAAAUUGAACUCGCUGUGAAGAUGCAGUGUACCCGCGGCAAGACGGAAAGACCCCGUGAACCUUUACUAUAGCUUGACACUGAACAUUGAGCCUUGAUGUGUAGGAUAGGUGGGAGGCUUUGAAGCGUGGACGCCAGUCUGCGUGGAGCCGGCCUUGAAAUACCACCCUUUAAUGUUUGAUGUUCUAACGUGGACCCGUAAUCCGGGUUGCGGACAGUGUCUGGUGGGUAGUUUGACUGGGGCGGUCUCCUCCUAAAGAGUAACGGAGGAGCACGAAGGUUGGCUAAUCCUGGUCGGACAUCAGGAGGUUAGUGCAAUGGCAUAAGCCAGCUUGACUGCGAGCGUGACGGCGCGAGCAGGUGCGAAAGCAGGUCAUAGUGAUCCGGUGGUUCUGAAUGGAAGGGCCAUCGCUCAACGGAUAAAAGGUACUCCGGGGAUAACAGGCUGAUACCGCCCAAGAGUUCAUAUCGACGGCGGUGUUUGGCACCUCGAUGUCGGCUCAUCACAUCCUGGGGCUGAAGUAGGUCCCAAGGGUAUGGCUGUUCGCCAUUUAAAGUGGUACGCGAGCUGGGUUUAGAACGUCGUGAGACAGUUCGGUCCCUAUCUGCCGUGGGCGCUGGAGAACUGAGGGGGGCUGCUCCUAGUACGAGAGGACCGGAGUGGACGCAUCACUGGUGUUCGGGUUGUCAUGCCAAUGGCACUGCCCGGUAGCUAAAUGCGGAAGAGAUAAGUGCUGAAAGCAUCUAAGCACGAAACUUGCCCCGAGAUGAGUUCUCCCUGAGACUAUAAGUCUCCUGAAGGAACGUUGAAGACGACGACGUUGAUA